rnacentral:rRNA from 1 species
GCCAGACUCCUACGGGAGGCAGCAGUGGGGAAUAUUGGGCAAUGGGCGCAAGCCUGACCCAGCAACGCCGCGUGAAGGAAGAAGGCUUUCGGGUUGUAAACUUCUUUUGACAGGGAAGAGCAGAAGACGGUACCUGUCGAAUAAGCCACGGCUAACUACGUGCCAGCAGCCGCGGUAAUACGUAGGUGGCAAGCGUUGUCCGGAUUUACUGGGUGUAAAGGGCGUGUAGCCGGGCUGACAAGUCAGAUGUGAAAGCCGGGGGCUCAACCCCCGAACUGCAUUUGAAACUGUUGGUCUUGAGUAUCGGAGAGGCAGGCGGAAUUCCUAGUGUAGCGGUGAAAUGCGUAGAUAUUAGGAGGAACACCAGUGGCGAAGGCGGCCUGCUGGACGACAACUGACGGUGAGGCGCGAAAGCGUGGGGAGCAAACAGGAUUAGAUACCCCAGUACC